GGAUCGCCAGCGGUUGGUCCGCCGUCAAGGUGUGUACUGGCCGCUGCAUCCCCCUUAUGGGAUACUCACCGCUGCCCUUAACUGAGUGGCGGUAAAAGCCUACGUGUACGGGUGGCAACACCGGUGCACGCAGGUGGAGUUCCCAUUCAUUUACUUUGAGUAUAAAUAGAGUGUUCAAGGCAGGCAUAAAGGGGCCGUUGUACACCUUUGCAUGGGAUAAUAGAACAGGACUUGUGUCCUUUUUGUUGGUUUCUAGGACAUGAGUA
rnacentral:rRNA from 1 species